GCUCUAUAAGUCCGUCAGCGCUUUUCUUCCCCCUCACUUCUCAAACACGAAAAAAAAAACUGGAAUUUACAAAAAAACGGAUUCAACCUCUCUCUCGCAAUGCUUGCUACCAGGUUUCAUCGAGGUGGGGGACUAUGUGCGGGAUCUGCUGGAGCGCCUCCACCCCACUUCCACCACCAUUACAUUUGCCACUUCCUCCUGAUGCAUCGUCUGUGUUCGACGAGGAUACGAAGCUCGAUAUCGAGGCAACACUGGAUGCUUUCGAUAGUCGCACCAUUCCCAUUAUCGAUCCUGAUCGCGAUUAUAGAUUAUGCUCGUAUGCCUCAGCUGUAUUAUUCUUGGACCAUAGCCUCAGACCACAUUCGGCGACAGUGAUGGUUAUCUUUUAUU